CCAGAAAGAAGACUUUUUUGUCCGUCGAGGAGGCAUUGGACAUCGUAUUUCAGGACUCUCCGUCGGAAGAUAGUGAUCUCGUCUCGCAUAAAGGGGACAGUAAUGACUCUGAUUAUGAACCUCCGUCACCGGAAAGUGAGGAAGGCGAUGAGGAUAUGGCUUCUGGAUGCCCGAGUAUUAUGGGGAAGAUGCCACCAAGGUCAGGAGGUACUGUAGGAGGUGCUCUGAUGCUGGCAACAGAAGGGUGAAGACACCUGUGUACUGCAGGAAGUGUCAGGUCCCUCUGUGCUUCACUACCAAACAUAACUGUUACAGGGCAUGGCAUGACUUACUGGAGUAAUACUGUAACAUUCAGGGUUUGUAUAAAGUUUUUUUUUUUUACCCAAAAAAUGCUUGUUGUAUAGUGUGUUGCUAAUUUUUUUUAAAUAAAUCUGCUCCAGUUGGAGUCAAAUGUU